UCUUCUUACUUUGUUUUGUUGUUUUUUUUUGAGUUUUAAUUAACAAUUAACAAACUCAGAGUUAGGGAUCGAAGUGGCUAGACACAUACGUCAUAUCUCGCUCAGGAAUUAAUGGGCCAUGCCUCUCCCAUCGCCUAUGGCCAGGCAUGCGAAUGGCUGAAACUGCGCUAAUCGUCAGACCAUUAAAAUCCUAUGAAAUGUGGAAUGGACAGAUCGGACACAGCACUUUUAGGACAACGAGUUCUGUCGCUUACUAAACGGUUGAUAUGCUUUUCAUGGAAUGAUUUUUACGUUUUCAGUAUUUUGAGGGUAUUGUCUCAUCGAACCACGGAAAAUAUUUUAAAUCUUUAAGUAAAAAAAUAAUGUAUUAAAAAACAACCAAUAGCAUGUCGGGCUUUGCUCAUCGAGGGAUUCCGUAGCUACCAUUCUGUCAUAACAGGCUAAACGGGGUCUAUUAGUAAGUAUCAUGUACCUACAUUACAAGCAUAAGGGAAUACCUUCGCAGCGCUUUGUACAUCUUUUUACUAAGAAGAGACUUUUUGGAAUAACUCAAAAACGGCUGGACCGAUCAUGCUCGCUAUAGUUUUCAUUGAAAGUAUUUAUUAAGCUUUUGUUCUAAGACAUUUUUUUGGAUCCAGGGUUAUAAAUUUCGGCGGGGGGCACACAUGUUUUUUUUCUAUCGGAGCGAUCAAUUUCGAAAACAUUCACUUUAUCAAAAAUAGGUUGUUGGGGACCCUUAUUCAUUUUAAAAGACCUAUCUAACGAAACUCCACACCAUUGGGGUACAUCAUAAAACAAAUCUAAAAAUUAUAUACAAAAAAUGUAAGGAAGGUACCCGAAAAAAAAUGAUUUUGUAGUUUUUAUUUUACCGUUCUGUCGCCAUGCGUGACUUAUGUAUCCAUGUAGUAUUCUGGAGACAAUGUGGAACAUAUCCAUACCGGUUUUAGGCAUUUAGAAAAUAUGUCUAUGAAAAUCGUGAAGGAGACGACUUUUGGUUAAUCUGCCUAUAGACUAUUUUUUAGGUACCUAUUUUAUGUAAAUUACUUUGUUAUAAGUUGGUGUAGAUAUGUUGAAGAACGGCAUGAACGCAAUAAAAACAAGUGUGUGUGGUCUAUGUUUACGUUUUACCUUCGAUUGUCAAAGAUGAAUGCAUACAUACAUUUAAACAACAUACAUUUUUACUCCAGCAACCAAACAGGUUAAAAAAGCUACAAACCUACCACAAAACAGUACAUACAUUAUAAUUUUGCGGUAAAAGCAGAAAGAUAAUAAGAGUAUAAAACCUUUUAAAACCUGAAAACGUGUUAUAAAAAAUGAUAAUUUUCCGCGUUGAGGUUAAAAACCUGUUUGUAAAAUAAAAGAAAGUAAUGCGGGCGUCACACCAGCGUAGCGGCUUAAAGGCGUAACGGCUUUCAGUAUUCUACAUUAAAGGGGCCUAAGAGAGUAAUUGAGCAUAUCAAGCGUAUAAAUUUGCAACGUUAUUUACGUAAAUUUUUAUGACGGUAAAACGAUGUAUUUAGAUCAUGAUUCCUUUAAAUCUCGACGUUAUCAAAGAUGCUUAGAGUACAUUUUCAAAUGGAAACUUUGGGAAACAAAAUUAAAAUGUAUGAGGCAUAUGUGGUUAGCAUUUGUCGAGUUGUACGAUAUUAAUUUAAUAAAUGUUCAGGAAUCAGGUGUUGAUGAAAAUUAAUUUCAACUUACGAUAUUUUCCAGAUGCUAAUGGUAUAGUAUAUUACUAUAGAGGACGGGGAAACGAAGGAUUGCAGGCCAAGUACAUAUAGACGGCCGAGCGUAAGGAGGUCGAAUAGGGAUACGCGGCCGGCAACCCCGUUUCUCGCCGAGAUUUGUAUAGUCAUUUUCUCAAACUUGCAAUGAAAUAAAAAAUAGGGUGAUGAUGAUGAUGAUGAUUGGUUCAUGUCCUAAUGUGAUAGGUUAUUCAGUGCAUAGGGUAUUAAAGGGGAACAAAAAUGUAAUUAUAUAAUAAAUAAAUAUAAUAAAUAAUUUUUUAUUGGCAUUAAGGUAAGUACAUUUUAGUGUUGAAGUCCCUGACUUCUGAGCUAGGUAAAAACCUGUGUUACAGAAGUCAGUGUCCUCUCCCAAACAUAAUAGUAACUAUUAAGACAUUAACCAUUUUCAUUUUAGACUUAAAGUAGAUAAUUAAGGCUUGUUUUAAUAUUAUAAAACAAAUGCCAUUCUAAUAAGAAUACAAUGCAAUUUAUUUUACAUAUAUAUUUUUUUGUGUAGAUGUGUGUGUGUGUGUGUGUGUGUGUGUGUGUGUGAGUAAAUCAGGGUAAGAUGCUUUCAGUUUGUACAUAGUCUAAUGACAGCAACCAGGACUUAAGUUUUUCCUUACACUCAUGUUUAUUUAGGGGAUAAAUGUUUAGGGUUUUAUUAAUCUUAUUAUAUAAAAAGAUGCCCAUAAAUCUUUGUUGCCGUCUGGCCGUAGCUAGUCUACAUUUAUAUGGUGCACAAACAUUAGUCAAAGUUCGUUUGCUUAAGAUUGCUUAAAAUUAUUUUGGCGCUACGACGCCCGCCAUUACUCUUUUUUCUUCCUUUUUCUUUCUUUUUUUCUUGUGUUUUUGUUCUUGUUUUGUGCUUUUUUAUUACUAUUUUGGGGUUGUCAAAAGCGGAACGAAAAUAUGAUUAUUUUUGCGCUACGACGCAUGGUUUAGCAGAUACAGCCUUAUAAAAAUUUCUGCAUGACUGAAAAAUAACUUUAUGGGGCUGUAUCUCCUAAACCGAGCGUCGUAGCGCAAAAAUGAUGAUGAAUGAUUCCCCUUUAGGAAACACUUAAAUAAUGUUUAACAAAGGCAAAAAAGAAAAAGAAAACCGCAAAAAAAUAAGAAAAAAAGCAUAAUGGCAGAAUUUUGCUUAUAUGUAUUAGAUAUUAAGGAUAUCUCGAACGAUCUUUUAGGUUUAUUCUGUCAAGUGUUUGACAAGUGACAGAUAGUUUUGCCGCGGUUUUGGUAAAAUGUGACAUUGACAGUUAGAUUACGACUGAGAGGAAAAAACUCAAGCGAUUGAAGGAAGGAUUUGUAUUGUUUUAAUUGUAAAAACUCAAAGAUAAAUAAACUAUUGUAAACUAAUUCAGUAUUUUAGUGAGACUUCUAAUAUCGGAAGUGGCAAGAACAUUGAAGAAAUAUCAAAGAACAAAAAAAAAAAGGAAAACUGGGACAGGCCAUCAUGUUCAGAGUUCAUGUUGACAGAGCAAACUGAGUGCUAUAGUGUCUAACAAAUCUUGAAUCCUGAGUAUUACAUAUAUGAAAACAUUUUACAGUAUGAAAUCAUAGCUAUAAUGGCAUAUACCCAUGUGAACAACAAUGCUCAUAUGCUAACCUUAAAACAUGCAAAGAAAGAUACGAAAGUUUGGUUAUUUAAUAUUGAGUAAAGCUUCAUGUUAGAAUUCUAAGAUGAAAUUGCAGGGUGAACAAGAUGGGGGUUGGCAUAACCACAAAGGCCUAAUUGUUGAAGAAUUAUUGCACUCAAAUAUGCACUAUGGCCGUGUGUAAAAGGUUUGGAGGUAUAAAAAUAUAUAAUCACAAGAUGAAGUGAGGUAAGGUCAAAUUAUAGAAUGUUUCAUUGGCAUUCACAUAAUUUACAAAAUCUCCAAAUGUCUUCACAAAUGGGUACUGCAAGUGCGUGAUGGGUGUCCUCCCCGAACUGGAUGGUGCAAGGGAUUCUUUACAGUAAAAGCAAUCUGCGGUGAGAGAUGACUGCAGGUAUUAUGUCAAAAGUUAAGGGGAUGCUGUAUUUGCUGCUAUAACAAAAGUUAAGUAUACUCCACACAUGUUCCUUGUUUCAACAAGUUGAAGUAUUUGAAAGUUUCAUGCAAGCAAAUUUGUUGAAAUCUGACAAUGUCAUGAAAUGGUAAUAAAUUAUUGGCACUAGAUAAACACAAGUGCUGUGAUAUACAUGCAUCCGCUUCAAAAACUGCUAGUGUAUAAAUAAAAUACUUAUAAUAAUAAGUGGUACAAGACAUAUUUUUAAUUACAAGAGAUAAAAUAAAAUAAAUUAUUGGUAUAUAACAUUCUGUAUGGAGAAUUAACAUUAAAAGAUCAUAAUCAUAAUCUUUUUUUUUUGUUUGUGUGAAAUGCAUUGACAUAAAUAUACUAGACAGGCUAUCGAGAACAAAUUGUGUCCGCCAUUUUCGGCGUUUGACAUCUGUCACUAAGCUAAAGAAUAAGGAUAGCUGUGUAGCUAGCCAGAGGCGAAACUGUUAUGACAACUGUUCAUUUUCUGUCUACAUAUGCAUUGUAAAGAAUCUAGAUAAAAUGUAUUGUAUUUCCUUACAAGUGUAUUGAAAUUGUUUUACGUAUGUGAUACGGACGACAUUAAAAUUUAUAAAAAUAGUCAUAAAGCUUUGAACUUUCUAUUUGACUCUCGUACUCGUAGCAAUUUUGAUCAAAUCGCACUUAUAGCAUAAUAUACUCUUUAAAUAUGAGAAGAGAAGAAACUACAAAAAAAUUACGAGAUAAAGAGUAAUAUAUCAUUAUUGUGUAGGUAUAUAAUUAUUAUUUUGCAAAGAAUAAGGUAAGUAAUCAUUAGUACCUAUGUAUUACAUCUGCGAGAUGUAAUCUAUGCGCCACAGAAAAUGGCGUACCACCGUGAGUGUUUAAAGUGACGUUUGAAAAUAUCUAAAUGAGCUUAAAACAAGAGCUUUUCGCAUUGAAUCUUUAUUAUAUUGCUUUAAUUACGUUUCUUGAUAUUAUUAGAAUGCAUUUUCAUAACGCACAAAGGCAUUUUAAGUUUAUUUAAAAAAAAAAAAACUUUUUUUUGUCACAUGCGUGCAUCACGCCUGUAGUCGGAGUCCUACUAAACCUAAUGAAGUGCCGACACUUCAUUGAGGUGUGGAAACAUUUUGUUAGAGAUGCCGACUCUAGUACAAUGACUUAAUGGAGAAAUGGGUUACAUUGCCGAUAAUUACUAUUGUGACUAAGAUAGCUUGCUAUAGCUCAUACAGUAUUGGAUCUACAACUUAAGUCAAAAUUUUGAUCAUAUGUUUAUUGACAUUAUUUAACUAAUAUAAGACCUAUUUUUAAUAUGAGAGUUUGUGACUUGUCUUGUAAGUUUGCAUUUUAAUGCAGUCAAUGAAAUUGAAGCCAUUAUCAUUUUUACAAUGGAGAAAUGGGUUACAUUGCCGGUAAUUACUAUUGUGACUAAGAUAGCUUGCUAUAGCUCAUACAGUAUUGGAUCUACAAUUUAAGUCAAUAUUUUGAUCACAUAUUUAUUGACAUAAUUUAACUAAUAUAAAACCUAUUUUUAAUAUGAGACUUUGUGUCUUGUUUUGUAAGUUUGCAUUUUGAUGCAUGUCAAUGAAAUUGAAGCCAUUAUCAUUUUUACAAGAUAAUGUCCCACUGCUGGGCACAGGCCUCCUCAGUUCAUAUUUAAGUAAUUCGUUUUGAUCAAACAUUUAGUAAAAAAUAUUUUGAUAAAUUAUUAGAAAAUAUUUAGUAAGAAAAGAUAGUUCAACCGUAAUUUCAAAUGUUGAAUGAAACAUGCUAUUUUAUGCCGAACACAGAUAUUGUCCUGAGUUAUGAUUGCAGAAUGUACUGGCAAGAGUCUGCACGUCUGAGCGACAGUGCGAGUCUGGACUUCUAACGCGAGGCUACACGUCUGAAUGGCGGUACGAGUCUGUACCGCUAAACGGCUGUGCGAGACUGGACGCCGGAGCGGUGCACGGCCGUCGGAGCAAUUGGAGCCGCUGAGCAUAAAUCGGCUACGUCACGAGACCCCUGAUGCGUUUUGGAAGGCGCACGAGGCGCAGAGGUUCUGCGGUGCUGCUUGCUGACAUUCGAGGGCGAGGGCUUUUCUUCUGAAGGCUGAACUGAUAACCGAUUGUGGGGAUUGCUCGAGCGCAGUCCUAUGUUCGAUGUCGCAGAUGGUCAGAUCACUACUGGCGUGACCAUAACUGUGAGAUGAGCAUUGCCGCCAUUGCCAACGUCGUGAUAUGGUAGAUUAUGUGCCUAAGGUAGACCUGUUUCCUGUUAUAUAUAUAUUAGGUCGAUCCGUAACUUAAUGAUGUAUUGAUGACUGCACUAUUGAAGCAGAUGCUGCAUUUGCCCUAUUUACUGAACCACAUGACUUAUGGAAAUAUAUGUAGAAUGUAUAUAGCUAUGUUUAUAGAUAUGUUUAAACCUGUAACAUACUUUGACUUUUUUUUUUUUAUGUAAUUGUUCUCAUAUAAGCGAUUUGGUGUACACUGUAAGUUUGUAUUGAAAAUGAAAUAAAUAAAUGUAUAAAGUAGGUACACAAAAUUCAGAUAUUUAUAGAAUUACAGAUGGAAAUAGGGCAGUUAACAAAAUAAUAGGGCAUAAGACCGACACAAGGAAAAUGCAAAAAUGUCCAGGUUAUAGAUUGUAUACAGUCAUGCAUAUUUAAAGUAUAGCAUUAUGAUGAUUGAUAUGUUGAUGAUUCAGGUUUAGCAGAUUAUUCAAAAUAUUUUUGACUUUUAGAUGAUACAAUAUGAUAUGUUGAUUGAUCUAAACAAAGUAACCGAUAGUGAGAAUAGUUAGUGAAAAUAUAAUUGUAUGCCUGAAAAGAAGGCCAUUCCACCUAACCUAAGAAACUUGAUGUACUUAGUAAAGAAAAUGAAAGUCAAAGAAAAUGAUUUUAGUUUAUGAAAACGUCAUGUUUAUUGUUGUCAAAAGACAUUUAAGUAUGAAAAGAUUUAGUGUUGCCUUUUUUUUUGCUGUUAUUUGUUGGUAAAUAUGGAUAGACUGAGUGAACCGGUUCACCCGUCACACUAAAGACUGGUGCGGUUUGGAGUUAAAUGUCACAUCAAGAGAAUAUCGUUAAUGUUGUAGGCUGAGUGACCAGGUUCACGGCUACUCUAGAGAUUACUGUGGCUUAAAAUAAAAUGUCGCACCAGGUGAAUAUUGUUAAUGUUGUAGACUGAGUGACCAGGGUCACAGCUACACUAGAGAUUACUGUGGUUUAGAAUAAAAUGUCGCACCAGGUGAAUAUUGUUAAUGUUGUAGACUGAGUGACCAGGGUCACGGCUACACUAGAGAUUACUGUGGUUUAGAAUAAAAUGUCGCAGCAGGUGAAUAUUGUUAAUGUUGCAGACUGAGUGACCAAGUCCACGGCUACACUAGAGACUAAUGUGGUUUAGAGUGAAAUGUCACACCAGGUGAAUAUUGUUAAUGUUGUAGACUGGGUGACCAGGCUCAUGGUUACGGUAGAGACUAAUGUGGUUUAGAAUGAAAUGUCACAUUAGGUGAAUAUUGUUGAUGUUUUAGACUGAGUGACCAGGUUCACACGACUGCACUAGCGACUAGUGUUGUGCGAAGUGAAAUGGAAAUGUCACCUCAGAUGAAUAUUGUUGAUGUUUUAGAUUGAGUGAUCAGGUUCACACGGCUGCACUAGUGACUAGUGUGGUGCGGAGUGAAAUGGAAAUGUCACCUCAGAUGAAUAUUGUUGAUGUUUUAGACUGAGUGACCAGGUUCACAUGGCUACUCUAGUGACUAGAGUGGUGCGGAGUGAAAUGGAAAAUGUCACCUCAGAUGAAUAUUGUUGAUGUUUUAGACUGAGUGAUCAGGUUCAUACAGCCGCAUUAGUGACUGGUGUGGUGUUGAGUGAAAUGCCAUCUCAGGUGGAUAUUAUUAAUGUUUUGGAUUGACAAAGGGGAUAUACACGGCCGCAUAUUAGAGACCAGUGUAUUGAAGGGUGAAAUGUUGCAAAAUUUUGCGUAAAUAAGGUUAAUUAAACAAAUUCAUGAUGGCACAUUAGAGACUAAUGUAUGAACUUAUGUAUACUCGUGUGGUUCAUUGAAAAAUAAGGUUUUAUACUGUUCAGUACCUGCUAGAUUGAGUUUGAGGACAAACUUCUAGAUUAUCAGGUUGGCCGAAUAUUAGAUAUUAAGGAUAUCUCGAACGAUCUUUUAGGUUUAUUCUGUCAAGUGUUUGACAAGUGACAGAUAGUUUUGCCGCGGUUUUGGUAAAAUGUGACAUUGACAGUUAGAUUACGACUGAGAGGAAAAAACUCAAGCGAUUGAAGGAAGGAUUUGUAUUGUUUUAAUUGUAAAAACUCAAAGAUAAAUAAACUAUUGUAAACUAA